GUUAGCUCAGUUGGAAGAGCGCUCGGCUUUUAACCGUGUGGUCGUGGGUUCAAUCCCCACA
rnacentral:tRNA from 1 species